UUUCCCUUCUCUCCCGAGCCUUUCCUUUCUCCCUCGCACCUCCAUCGCACCACCACCUCCCUACAUCGAUCGUCGACUGUGCAGCACCGCUCCUCGCCGGAGCAAGAUACGAUCAUGACCAGUGCCGCAUCGCCUACCCUCUGAUCCCGACGUUGUCACCGCACCGCGAUCCGCCCGACGCUGACCGCCGAGCUUCCUCAGUGAUGCCAUCGGCCAUCGCAGCGCCACCUAGCGUCAAUUUUCCCUCUUCACACCUGCGAUCCAUAGCUAUUGAUCCACCGCCGCUGGUUGACCAUCGACAUCGCUUUCUGCUUCUCGCGAUAACGCUGUUGCAUCAUCUUCUUCUCCGUCGAGUUGUCUCGCAUAAGCUGGUCCUCAACCGGGGGGAUCCCAUGCCCUAGCUUCACCGCUGCUCUUCGCUGGAGUCGCUUCAAUCGAAGCUACACCGACGUUGCUACCCUCUCAGCCAAUCUUCUGCCAUCCGCGCCGUGCCCUAGCUCCGAUGUAUCGCCAACGCUGUUGCGCCAUCUCACAGUUGUUGUUGCCCUUCGAUUGUGCUGAGCACCCGAGCCAGUAACAGCCCUUACCAGCUCCACUGUCCUACUCGUGUCGCCAUCACCAUGUGUCGAUCGCCGGUGUUGCCUUUGACCACACAAGCAGCCGACGUUGAGUGUGUUCAAGCUAGCUACCUGUGCUCUUGUACUAUUGAGCUGUUCGUUGUAGAUCCGUUCAUCAUGGCAUCCCUGAUCCUGCAUCGAGCAGCUACAAAGCUGGAUUGUGGUGAGUAUGGGAAGGUGAUAGAUUAAGAGCAAUGUUUUGUUGAGGUUUAGGCAUUUGAUCGUUUCCUGCAUUAUCAGGGUGAGUUUUCAUCAGUGGUUGUCUUUUGGAUUUCCUAUCGUUGAUAUGUUCUGUUUAGGUUGCUGGAGAUGUUUCUGUGUGUAAUAUGAUCUGGGAUUGUAUUAGUUGAGAUUGAUCUUGGGUCAGAUCUGAAAUUGUUGGAGGAAGCUAAGGACUUUGUUUCGGGACGAGCAUCUCGAUGUCGGAUUUCGGGACACGAUCGACAGACAGAGGCGGGUAGCAGGUAAAGGAUUUAUGGAGUCGCCUG